CAACGACUCUCGGCAACGGAUAUCCCGGCUCUCGCAUCGAUGAAGAACGUAGCGAAAUGCGAUACUUGGUGUGAAUUGCAGAAUCCCGUGAACCAUCGAGUCUUUGAACGCAAGUUGCGCCUGAGGCCGUCAGGCUAAGGGCACGUCUGCCUGGGUGUCACGC
rnacentral:rRNA from 1 species